rnacentral:lncRNA from 10 species
CUCCCCACCCCACCAAGGGCUCGCACCCAGCCCAUGCUGACUCCAGUUGUCCUUGACUGCAUGGUUUCUGCUGGUCCAAGCAAACUUCUCCUGCCACGCCUAACCUUGGAGAGCAGGUACCCAAGCAAGCCACUCCUCAGGCAUUUUCCCCACAACUAGAAAUCCAGAGGCUUUGGAUCUUGAGAAGAACAUGAAGGAAAGAUGCCAGGAAGUACAGUCUGGUCUGCUGAUGAUGAUCAAUGGAGGAAGUGUUUCAUGGUGGACAUGGGAAACUGGCCAGAUCAACUGCUGUCACCUUCUAAGACCCAGACGGGGAGGAGGAAUGCCAGAGAAGCUGCAGACUCUCCGGCCACGGAGCCUGAGUGGAGCAGAGGUGGCCCACUGUCAGCCACAGGAAAGACACUGAAGGAGCAGAGGUGUGGACGCCACAUACUGGACGGGGUUUCACCAUCUGCUGGGACGGGACACCCUCUCUUCUUGAUCUCACUCCCAGAAAAGACACUGAAGGAGCAGAGGUGUGGACGCCUCAUACUGCUAGAGACGGGGUUUCACCGUGUUAGCCAGGAUGGUCUCAAUCUCCUGAAGUCGUGAUCCACCCGCCUUGGCCUCCCAAAGUGCUGGGAUUACAGGCGUGAGCCACUGCACCCGGCUGAAAUUGUAUACUUUAAAGGGAUGAAUUUUAUGGUAUGUGAAUUAUGUCUCAUUAAAAAAAACAAACUGUUAAGAAAACCAGGAGUGGUCUGGAGAAAUGCUUAGCCACGGCUCCAGGCUCCAGGCUGGGCCAUGCCUCACCUCUCUGGAUGGGAACUCAGCACAGCUGGCAUCAACAAAGCUGACUGUCCCCUGUGUCAGGCAUCACAGGGUCAGGAGGCUCCUGGCUCAGAGGGGGAUGUGAAGGAGGGCAGUGGAGGGAAGAGAGUCCUGGCACAGGGAAGAGGGAACCAGGCUGCCGGCCCAGUGCCCAGCUGCUCCCCAUCCCUCACACCCUGGCCCUGGAGCCCUUGGCCACAUGCCCCAUCCCAGGACCGCCUAGUUGUGAGAGAAGCCCCCGUGGG